rnacentral:lncRNA from 1 species
CUGACAACUAAACCACCAUAUCCUGAUAUAUCGUUUCUGGUGACAUGAAAGAUGACAGGAAAAAAAACUAAUCUAUAAUAGAGUGUGAUCAUUCCUAGGCUUAUCGGUAAAUUCCAGUUUCUAUCUAGAUCCACAUAUUAAUUUUAUUUUCAAUAAAAGAACAAAGUUCAUAUGUCCCCUGCAUUGCACAUAUUUUAUGUAACCAAGAAACAAGGGCAAUAACUAAUAAAAAAUAAUGUUUUUCUUUUUAUUUUUAAUGGAGACAUAAAAGCUUCAGAGAAAAUGCAAUGGGAUUUUCGUUAUUAUUAUAUGCAAAGGUAAAAGCUUACGACUUAUUUUUGAAAUUGUCAUUGCUGAUGAUUUAAAAAUCUGGCAAGAAUUGUACACAUAAGAGUGCAAACGAGACCGGAUGGACGGACACCAGGAAUUUCGAUGAUG